rnacentral:rRNA from 1 species
GUCGAGCGAACAGAAGGGAGCUUGCUCCCGGAUGUUAGCGGCGGACGGGUGAGUAACACGUGGGUAACCUGCCUGUAAGACUGGGAUAACUCCGGGAAACCGGAGCUAAUACCGGAUAGUUCCUUGAACCGCAUGGUUCAAGGAUGAAAGACGGUUUCGGCUGUCACUUACAGAUGGACCCGCGGCGCAUUAGCUAGUUGGUGGGGUAAUGGCUCACCAAGGCGACGAUGCGUAGCCGACCUGAGAGGGUGAUCGGCCACACUGGGACUGAGACACGGCCCAGACUCCUACGGGAGGCAGCAGUAGGGAAUCUUCCGCAAUGGACGAAAGUCUGACGGAGCAACGCCGCGUGAGUGAUGAAGGUUUUCGGAUCGUAAAGCUCUGUUGUUAGGGAAGAACAAGUGCGAGAGUAACUGCUCGCACCUUGACGGUACCUAACCAGAAAGCCACGGCUAACUACGUGCCAGCAGCCGCGGUAAUACGUAGGUGGCAAGCGUUGUCCGGAAUUAUUGGGCGUAAAGGGCUCGCAGGCGGUUUCUUAAGUCUGAUGUGAAAGCCCCCGGCUCAACCGGGGAGGGUCAUUGGAAACUGGGAAACUUGAGUGCAGAAGAGGAGAGUGGAAUUCCACGUGUAGCGGUGAAAUGCGUAGAGAUGUGGAGGAACACCAGUGGCGAAGGCGACUCUCUGGUCUGUAACUGACGCUGAGGAGCGAAAGCGUGGGGAGCGAACAGGAUUAGAUACCCUGGUAGUCCACGCCGUAAACGAUGAGUGCUAAGUGUUAGGGGGUUUCCGCCCCUUAGUGCUGCAGCUAACGCAUUAAGCACUCCGCCUGGGGAGUACGGUCGCAAGACUGAAACUCAAAGGAAUUGACGGGGGCCCGCACAAGCGGUGGAGCAUGUGGUUUAAUUCGAAGCAACGCGAAGAACCUUACCAGGUCUUGACAUCCUCUGACAACCCUAGAGAUAGGGCUUUCCCUUCGGGGACAGAGUGACAGGUGGUGCAUGGUUGUCGUCAGCUCGUGUCGUGAGAUGUUGGGUUAAGUCCCGCAACGAGCGCAACCCUUGAUCUUAGUUGCCAGCAUUUAGUUGGGCACUCUAAGGUGACUGCCGGUGACAAACCGG